GCGGCGUACGGGUGCGGAACACGUGUGCACUGCUUUAUCUGGGGGAUAGCCUUUCGAAAGGAAGAUUAAUACCCCACUAAUAUGUUGAAUGGCAUCAUUCGACCAUUGAAAACUCCGGUGGACUACGACGACUGGGCACGCGCAACGACUUACGACUACGUUGGUGACGGUAACGGUUCACCCAAAGUACUACGACUACUUUANAGGGGCCUGAGACGGGUGACUCCCCCAAAACUGGGUACCUGACGAACACGGACCAGACUCCUACACGGGGACGGCACGCAGUUGACGGAACUACUUGGACAAAUGGGUGACGAGCCUGAUCACAGCCAUACACCGGCGUGAAGGACGACUGCCCUAUGGGUUGUAAACUUCUUUCUGUACUAAGCGAUAAAACUAAACCUCGUUAGAGGGUACGACUAGAACAGUGUAACUAUACACGGAAUAAAAGCCACACGGGGUAAAACUACCAGGUUGGNNCAAGCAAGACCAGACUGGGAUAAAUACAAAGAAGAUGGGGUGCAANGACAGUUAAUUACCCGGGGGAGUUAUAAAUUGNGGGAUUAAAAAAAAGGGGGGUACNAGGUUAGGGACAGGGAA
rnacentral:rRNA from 1 species